rnacentral:rRNA from 1 species
CACGUAGGGUGCAAGCGUUGUCCGGAAUUAUUGGGCGUAAAGGGCUCGUAGGCGGUCCGUCGCGUCGGGAGUGAAAACUCGGGGCUCAACCCCGAGCCUGCUUUCGAUACGGGCGGACUAGAGGUAGGUAGGGGAGAACGGAAUUCCUGGUGUAGCGGUGAAAUGCGCAGAUAUCGGGAAGAACACCCGUGGCGAAGGCGGUUCUCUGGGACGGUACUGACGCUGAGACGCGAAAGCGUGGGGAGCAAACAGG